UCCAGAUUCUGACCAUUAUAAAUGAAGCUGCCAUGAACGAACCUGAGCAGUGAGGCGAUAUCUUGUUUGUACUCUAAGCUUGCCUGAAGAUCAGAAGGUGGAGCUAGCCACUAGUUCCAUAGUGGUUGGAAGUCUGCAGAUAGACAGCAAGUGAUAUGACUGGGCAGAGAGGGGACUAUAAGACAGGAGAAGCUACAGUCACAUUCUUUUUGACUGAAAAGUUGGUGAGGUCAAUGUCCCUGAACAACCAUAUCUUCAUGUAUACUCCAGGAAGAAACAAUCACAGGGAGCUUGGUAUCUAAUUAGAAACGAUGCUGAGUGGCCCACAUUACUCUGGUCAACAAUGGAUCCUUUCUUUUAUUUUGCAUCUUAAACUAUGACUGAAAAACUCCUCUUUUGACUAAACUGAGGACACAUAGACUGAAAACUCCUAACAUAAAAUAUGCUUUUCAAUAAGUGUUUUUAAAUAUAUGACACCUGCCUUAC